UCUUAGGUCAUUUUAUUAUCCAAUGUUUUAAGUCAUCAGAAUGCACCCAUCUGUUGUCCUUCUACAUCUGGGGUAAUUUUAACUCUUCAAGCCUACGGAAAAACUGGAGAAGCCAGCGUGACAUGAGUGUGUUACUUUUGCCUACCACACUGCUUCCAAAUAUAUCGUUUCUCCUGAAAAAUCACAAGGAAAUCGUUAAAUAUUUAUGUUUCCUUGGAAAUGGCUUUGAACGUUAAUGGUGUCCCCCCUUCACUUACUGCUCUUUCUGGUUUUCUGAUGCCGUGAUAUAUUCCCCUGGGACCAUAGCCACUCAGAGCCUCUUCUCACCAACUCAGGAAAACCUUUAAAGAUGUGAAAUCAUAAAGACUCUGAGGCUGCCUUACCAGGGGCCAACGGGCAGAUGUCCAUAGCAGUAGAGCUAUGAGUGGGGUGAAAAGACAACUGGAGUUUAACACCAAUAACCUUGUCAAUGUACUGAUCGUUCUUUUAGAUGACAUUACAUCCAAUAAUUAGAUUUUCUUGCAUGAGCGUUUUAGGGGUAACAGUAUAUUAAUAGACCUGUUUGCAAUCCGUUUGUCUACUUUCCAUUUCAUAGCUCCUUCAACAAUAAAAAAAAAAGUGAGCAACCUAGUUUACAUCACAAGAGAAGGCAAAUCACAAGUUAUCAACUGAUUAUGAAAAAGUUCUAAUGUGUGAGACAGGAUACGCUGCCUUUCGAUCAUCUUUUAGGGAAAGAAGCCCAAUGGGUAAAUUUAAUUACUUGCGCUGACUAACUUACAAAUGCAAUAUGAACAGAGGCAGUUUCAACCACACAAUUGUUUCCUUCCAAGUUGUCUGUUUCAGCUGGAACUGACUAGAUCGUUCUGUGGAAUCAAACUACCACCCAAAUCUUGGCAGUUUGCAACGACCAACGUUUAUUUUUCAAUUACACUACUUAUCCAAUGAGUGCUAGCAGGGACUUCUGUUCCAUGUCAUUCUCUCUAUGGUACUCACAGUGACAGAGGGUUUCCUUUAAUGUUGUCCUUCAUUAUAACAAAGACCGAGACAAGGUGAACCACAAGCUAUGACUUAAGCUUCUACCUGUAUGUUAUACACAAGUCACUUCUAACUCCUGUGCCCAUUUCAGUGGAAGAGCAAAUCAAUCCAAGUCAAACUUCAAUGUCUUGGGGAAAUACAACUUCACCCCUAGGAAGGGAAGCAGAUAUGGAUGAAUGGUAAUACAAUCACUACUCCAAACAAGACCCCUGUAUCAUUGCUUUAUUUGAGUGAAUUCUUUUUUAACAGAUCCCUUUUAAAACAUCAGCCUGGAAGCCAUGCUUAUGGAAAUCAGCUUCACUAGUUCUAAGCAGGGGUUUCAUGGUUUGGAGAUGUUGUCUGACCUUCUUAACAGAUUUCAGCCACAGACCUGUUGCAGGACUGUCACCACCCAAAGAAUGACAAGUUUUCCUGCUUAAAGGUUUUGCAUUUACGCAUGCAAGGAGUACACCCUUCGCCCAAAGGACCAAGGCUCCCUCCUGCUCUGUCAGCUGCCAGUUUCCUCCAGCAAGUUACUAAAACUAGGUACAAGGUGCUGAGGAGUCACUAUUCAGCAAAUCCACAGAAUGUGUGCCUCUGACAGCACCCUGGGAAUUCCUGGUAAUUGCCUCACUCCAUCAUGGAAACCCAGCUUCUAUUUCAGCAGCAAUAACGGGUUGUCCUGGACCACUGACCUCUUCUGAAGAUGUCUUCAGGUUAGAUCUGCCCUAUAUCUGGGGCAGUUGGUUCAAGACUUAGAGAAAUUCCUACAGACUCUCUCAUACCAGAAUGAUGGGGACCCACAUGAGGAACUUGGCCGGAAGCAGCAAAGGCUUCAGGCUUGGUGAUGUGGAUCAAAAUAUGAAGGGAAAUUGUUAGAAGACGACUUGGACUAGAAAUACAGAGUCAAUAAUCCAGGCAGAAACAAUGCUUUGUUUUCCUAAAGAAGAAAAUGAGAACUUCAUUUUAAUCAUUUUUCCCCUUCUCUCCCUUUCUGUUUGUUUUGAUUCCCAUGCAUGGGCAAUAUCAUAUACUGGCAGUACAAGAAAUUCUUGCAAACAAUGUGGCCAUUUCUUCUCGUAUUUUAGACAUACUUCAUCUGUUAUGUGGUUCCCCAUCCAUCCACUUUCAUGUUACAGCUGAAUGUGUGGAAUCUGUGUCCCAUCAUUGUUCUUCAUAGAUACC